rnacentral:tRNA from 1 species
UCCCUGGUGGUCUAGUGGUUAAGACCGCACUUCCAAUGUAGGGGGUGCAGGUUCGAUCCCUGGUCAGGGAA